rnacentral:rRNA from 1 species
CCUACGGGAGACAGCAGUGAGGAAUAUUGGUCAAUGGCCGCAGGGCUGAACCAGCCAAGUCGCGUGAGGGAUGACGGUCCUAUGGAUUGUAAACCUCUUUUGUCAGGGAGCAAAGGGCGCCACGUGUGGCGCUUUGCGAGUACCUGAAGAAAAAGCAUCGGCUAACUCCGUGCCAGCAGCCGCGGUAAUACGGAGGAUGCGAGCGUUAUCCGGAUUUAUUGGGUUUAAAGGGUGCGCAGGCGGAAUGUCAAGUCAGCGGUAAAAUUUCGGGGCUCAACCCCGUCGUGCCGUUGAAACUGGCGUUCUUGAGUGAGCGAGAGGUAUGCGGAAUGCGUGGUGUAGCGGUGAAAUGCAUAGAUAUCGCGCAGAACUCCGAUUGCGAAGGCAGCAUACCGGCGCUCAACUGACGCUCAUGCACGAAAGCGUGGGUAUCGAACAGGAUUAGAUACCCGAGUAGUC